CUUACGAAUUACUAGAGCCAGAUCCAGAUGACCUCUGAAGGCCAAAUCCCCAAAGAAAGUGGGGACCAACUGCCACAACCGUGGCGAAAAUGAACCCGGCCACCACAAAAUUCUUAAAUUGAAACGCGGCAAUGAUAGCAGUGCACGAAUUCACCCCCUUCCCUUGGAGGAAUGGUUCAAACACCUGCUGAACGACCAAAGAGAACUAAAGAAGAAACCUUCCAAAGAAUCAAACGGCACUAUGCCAGAAGAAUCAAAAAGCAAAAAUAGAAUUCCCUUCGGCGAUAAUGGAAGAUCCUUUUUUACUAAAAAGGAUCAUGUACGACACUAUAUACGCG
rnacentral:lncRNA from 1 species